rnacentral:lncRNA from 1 species
CCUCUUUAACGGCUCCCCAUGAAAUAAUCAUUCAUUAUGUCACCAGGAGGGAAGAAAGGGAGUAUUUUGUGAAGCUGUCCCAUUCAAAGCCACCCCCAGAGGCCCGGAGGAGACCACAAAGCUGCGAACACAGCCGGGACCUGCCCACUGACACACUGAAGAGUCAACACGAUUCAGGAAAGCACUUUCAAAGAGUGUUUUAUCUUGGACAGAUAAUAUUCCGUUUUGUUUCUGAGAGGCAAUGACAAUCUCUAGUUCGAUUGUAAAACUAUUUCCUUCAAAUAUACAUUUUUAUCUAUG